rnacentral:rRNA from 1 species
AGUGAACGCUGGCGGCAGGCCUAAUACAUGCAAGUCGAACGGCAGCACGGCAGAGCUUGCUCUGUGGGUGGCGAGUGGCGGACGGGUGAGGAAUACAUGGGAAUCUGCCCAGUCGUGGGGGAUAACGUAGGGAAACUUACGCUAAUACCGCAUGCGCCCUUUGGGGGAAAGCCGGGGACCUUCGGGCCUGGCGCGAUUGGAUGAGCCCAUGUCGGAUUAGCUAGUUGGCGGGGUAAUGGCCCACCAAGGCGACGAUCCGUAGCUGGUCUGAGAGGAUGAUCAGCCACACUGGAACUGAGACACGGUCCAGACUCCUACGGGAGGCAGCAGUAGGGAAUAUUGGACAAUGGGCGCAAGCCUGAUCCAGCCAUGCCGCGUGAGUGAAGAAGGCCCUCGGGUUGUAAAGCUCUUUUGUCCGGAAAGAAAAGCGCCGGGUUAAUACCCUGGUGUCCUGACGGUACCGGAAGAAUAAGCACCGGCUAACUUCGUGCCAGCAGCCGCGGUAAU